AUUUGACUCAACGCGGGGAAUCUUACCGGGUCCGGACACACUGAGGAUUGACAGACAGUUGUCUUUCCCUCCCUUCGGGGUGGGAUUACAAAAGAUAACAGAUCUUUCAUGAUCAUGUGAUGGGUGGUGCAUGGCCGUUCUUAGUUCGUGGAGUGAUCUGUCUGCUUAAUUGCGUUUCAAAUUUUAUAUUUGUUAACAUGCGAGUCUUCAAUGACGGCCACUCCACCUUAUAGACAUUAUAUGAUAUGCACAUUUGUGUAUUUGAUUAUAACUUGUCUGGAGUCUGGCUCGAUUUUUUUGACUCAAUUGAACGCAACGGACGUGAUUGCAAGUCCUUGUUGAACAAAUUAUAUAUAUACUACUUCAUCAUUAGUAUAUAUAGUUCGCUUCUCAUGUCGUAGCAGUCAAACGGGCGGGCGUCUUAAUUGGCGCGGUCACGAGGCUUAAUAUGCUGCGGCUGGGGAAAACUUGGGCGACCGCUGUAAUACUUCUCUCUUAAACCA
rnacentral:rRNA from 1 species